rnacentral:rRNA from 1 species
AUUGAACGCUGGCGGCAGGCCUAACACAUGCAAGUCGAACGAGUGGCGGACGGGAGAGUAAUGUCUGGGAAACUGCCUGAUGGAGGGGGAUAACUACUGGAAACGGUAGCUAUUACCGCAUACCAUCGGAUGUGCCCAGAUGGGAUUAGCUAGUAGGGGGGGUAAAGGCUCACCUAGGCGACGAUCCCUAGCUGGUCUGAGAGGAUGACCAGCCACACUGGAACUGAGACACGGUCCAGACUCCUACGGGAGGCAGCAGUGGGGAAUAUGGGACAAUGGGCGAAAGCCUGAUGCAGCCAUGCCGCGUGUGUGAAGAAGGGCUUCGGGUUGUAAAGUACUUUCAGUGAGGAGGCGUUACCCGCAGAAGAAGCACCGGCUAACUCCGUGCCAGCAGCCGCGGUAAUAC